AAGUCGUAACAAGGUUUCCGUAGGUGAACCUGCGGAAGGAUCAUUAACGAGUUUACUGAGUUGUCGCUGCCCUCUCGGGGGAUGUGCACGCUCUUUCACUCAUCUAUACACCUGUGCACCUAUGCGAGUCAAUGGGGGAUUAGCGAAAGAGACCUGCAAAGGUUUCGACUAGCGUUCUCUGUCGGCUCGAUUUUUUAUAAACUCUUGUAUGUCUUAGAAUGUCUACUUUGCUUAACGCAAUAAAUACAACUUUCAACAACGGAUCUCUUGGCUCUC
rnacentral:misc_RNA from 1 species